AUGGCAGCAUGAGGCAGUACUUGAUUGAGCCAACAAUUUCUGAAAUAGAGUUUCGUACAACCUGAGCUAGAGUUAUUUAUAUGCAUGAAGGGUGUUGGAUACGGAUCACAUAGUUAUCGAGAAUAAUUCAAUUGUUGUGGUGUCAUGGAUUUGGAAAUAUAUGCAGGGAACAGCUAAGCAUCCUCUUUUAUGAGAUAUUUUUAUUUUCCUCUCUAGUUGCAUUAGACUUAUUGUUAGGC
rnacentral:lncRNA from 1 species